UAAAAUAGUUUGGCAGCGAAUGAAUCCUAUCGGGGGAAGGUGUGUUGUAAAGGAUGAUCCGCCUAUUAAUUUACUCUUAUUAUGUUGGUGUAUAUCUAGUUUAAUAUUAUUGUCUAGUGACUUAAUUUGUGUAGAAUUUAGUUAAGCUAAGUCUAUGUGCUGCAUAUAGGAGUUUUCAUGCGUUACAUUUAUAAAGAGUUAGUUGUAAAGACUAAUUUAUUUAGGACUCGAAAGUAAUGUACAAUGAGUUUGUGUA
rnacentral:rRNA from 1 species